GCCCGGCUGGCACAAUUGGUCAGCGCGUGAGACUUUUAAACCCUAAACAGGGUUUCAAGGGAUCUCAAGGUUGUGAGUUCGAGCCUCACGUCGGGCG